rnacentral:rRNA from 1 species
AAAUUGAAGAGUUUGAUCAUGGCUCAGAUUGAACGCUGGCGGCAGGCCUAACACAUGCAAGUCGAACGGUAACAGGAAGCAGCUUGCUGCUUCGCUGACGAGUGGCGGACGGGUGAGUAAUGUCUGGGAAACUGCCUGAUGGAGGGGGAUAACUACUGGAAACGGUAGCUAAUACCGCAUAAUGUCGCAAGACCAAAGAGGGGGACCUUCGGGCCUCUUGCCAUCGGAUGUGCCCAGAUGGGAUUAGCUUGUUGGUGGGGUAACGGCUCACCAAGGCGACGAUCCCUAGCUGGUCUGAGAGGAUGACCAGCCACACUGGAACUGAGACACGGUCCAGACUCCUACGGGAGGCAGCAG